GCAGCAGAGAGCUGUGACAGAGCGCUCUUUCCGAACGAACCGAAACCAUCCUCACUCCGCGUGCAAAUAUUUGUCCCUUGGAAGCUGCGCGUGCGAGGACAAAAAGGCGAACGCUGCAUCUGUGCAUCAAACUUGAGCGAGAACCACCUGAAGAAAGCAUGCUGUACCCCGUCGUGUUGCUGCUGCUUGGAACGACGGCAGUGUCCCUGAGCUGGCCUCAGGAGCGGCCGCAGUGGGACGGUGACGCCAAGGACCCACCCGUUUUUGUGUUCGAGCAGCCGUCACCGACCUGGUCCAAGAGGGCCCUCAGCCUCUUCGCCCACUGGCGGCCGCAGCAGUACAACCCGGGAGCAGCAGACGACCCCGAAUUGCCAGCGGACUUUGUCGGAAGGCCGCACGGUCAACCGCUACGCUGGGGAUAAAACGGAGCCGUGUUUCGACGGGUUUCCGCUGUUUCUCAACAACCUCCUUCUACCUACUCUAUUCUGCAAGUGACUGGUAUCAGUGCAUCGGGACUUUGCAACUGUGGGCAGGCUGCUUGGAUACCACAGACGGUAGAGGGUGGCGAUGGUGUGUUCAGGGGAGGCUACCAGACCACGACUACAGUCACUUGUAACGCAAAAGUCACAUUGAUCAUUUUGUUAUUUUGAGUGUGAGCGCAAUGCAAUCGUAAAGCGUAGAACGUCGUCCUCAGGUGUAUGACGUAGAAUACUGAAGGCUGUUAUAUACUCAGCGUCAGCGAAGCACGUCUGGCUUACAUGGUUGUAUAGACAAUAGACCUUCUGAAUCAUGUGUAUAGUACAACGUGAAUAUCGAUCUCGUUACAUAUUUCAAACGCGUGACGAAAAUAUGAGCCCGCGUUUAAGUUACCUCAGACUUGGUCACGAAGUUUUAUUGACAGGGGGCGUAGAACAAAAGCUACGAGGAAAUCUCAACACAAGCAUUUCAAUAGACGGUCAGAUGUCAGUUUCACGUGCGUCUGCCAAUAAAAACCGCGGUAAUGGGAAAAGCUCAAGGAACAAAGUAAACGCGUUAAUACGUUGCUAUAUCUUAAAUGUCAUGACAAUGCAGACACUGAAUGGUGCGUUUCUGAUGUGGUCUAUUUCUUAUUACAAAGCCAGUGCCGCAAGCGCAGGUGCGAAUGUGGAAUUGCGAGAGGUCGUUAAAAUAAGUGCAGCGCGUUUUUAACCUUUUCUGUUUCUCCACAAUGAUAGUGUGCCGAAAAAAAAAUUAAAUAAAAUUCGGGAAUAUGCAGAG